CGCGGGGGGCUCGGGCACUUUCCAACCGGGAAAAGUGCAGGGAAGGCGAGCAGCGGUCGGUUCCCUCCCCCCCCCAACACCUCGCCUGCCCGGGAUCCUGGGGACGCGCUGGGUCCGCCGCCGGCGCCUCCCCCGGCAGCGCCCCGGCAGCGCCCCGCAGCGCUCGGGGCGGCCAAGAGCCCCAAAUGGGGGGCACUUCGGAGGGCCAGCAGCGCUGCGGUGCCGCCCCGCGGGAGAGAGAGCUCCUCUCUGCUUCGAUUUUCUUUCUUAAAUUCCUACUGAUGGAGAAAGUAAGAUUGUUAAACUAAUAGAAUAAAGGAGUCUUACCCAUCUUUUAUUGAUUCUGGUGUGACAAAACAAAACAAAACAAAAAGAAAAG